rnacentral:lncRNA from 1 species
GUUUUAUUAUUUAAAUUAAUAAAUUGAAUAAAAUAUUAAUUUAUAUCAAGAUAGAGCAGAAAUUCGAGGAAAAUAGAAAAUUACCAAAAUGUCCCUGAAUUUUGGUAUUUCUGCAAUUUAGCCUGGUAAGUUCGUGUAACUUGAAUUAUAUUCUUAGAUUAUUGAAAUAUAUAUAUUGUAUUGAGAAAUUGAUUUGAAUUGUGAACAUGAGAAAUUGUGAAUUGAAUGAAAUGGAAAUGAAGCUUUGAAUUAC